UCUAUUUCAAUUUCCAUCUGUUAGUUGAAUGGGGACUGAACCUGAAUCCAUUAAAUAUAAAUUAACUAAAGUCUGUCUUCAACCUAAAUAAACCAAAACCUGAACUCUUUCCUCCCUUAUUUAUAAUCCCAGACUCUGGAUAAUCUGACUCAAGACAUCCUGGUAUUUAUUGCUCUCCAGUGGAAACUUUGCAUCCUUUGCUUUGGUAGAGUGUGUUGUUUUGUGCAGCUGUUCAGAGCAUGUAAAAAUAGCCACCAUGCCGCGUUGUGCUGUACAUCACUUCUGUCGCGUCGCUGUAAUGGGCUGAUCAAAGCACCAACUGGUGGGGAGGUAAAACUCAUGGAGUACCUGCUCUUCCUGCUGUCACUGAUGGUCUGUCAAGCCUCUAUUAGCUUUUCAAGGCAACCCAUCAAUGUUUAGCUAGUUUUUACAUGGAUUUGUCCUCAAAAUUCCACCUGAGUUUGAAAACAAUUGUGAUGCCUCACACACAGAGAGCAGCUGAUUUCUGCCUUUUAAAAAGCAGACCCUGUAAUAUGUGAGUAAUUUUCAGAGACUGCAUGGAGUUAAAGUGGUCUUUGGAAAGCCAUCUGGAGGGGAAAAAGUGUCACAAUACUGCAGAAUGCUAGAAACUGAUCAGCCACUUGCAAGCUGCUGUAUCCAAGGUUUCUUAUACCUGAUUGUUGUAGUGGGCUUCUGGGAAAGUUUGUUUUGGUAGCAUCAAUGUACUUUAUAAUAAAGGCAGGCCGUAG
rnacentral:lncRNA from 1 species